rnacentral:siRNA from 1 species
CUUCAACCGUCUCCAAGGUGUC